rnacentral:rRNA from 1 species
AGAGUUUGAUCCUGGCUUCAGGACGAACGCUGGCGGCGUGCCUAACACAUGCAAGUCGAGCGAAGUGCCUUGAAAGGAAUCUUUCGGGAUGAAUAGAAAGGUAUCUUAGCGGCGGACGGGUGAGUAACGCGUGAGGAAACCUGCCUUCUACAAGGGGAUAGCCUCGGGAAACCGGGAUUAAUACCCUAUGAAACUUAAGAGCCGCAUGGUUUUUAAGUCAAAGCGCAAAGCGGUAGAAGAUGGCCUCGCGUCCCAUUAGCUAGUUGGUGAGGUAACGGCUCACCAAGGCAACGAUGGGUAGCCGGCUUGAGAGAGUGAACGGCCACACUGGAACUGAGACACGGUCCAGACUCCUACGGGAGGCAGCAGUGGGGAAUAUUGCACAAUGGAGGAAACUCUGAUGCAGCGACGCCGCGUGAGCGAAGAAGGCCUUCGGGUCGUAAAGCUMUGUCCUAUGGGACGAUAAUGACGGUACCAUAGGAGGAAGCCCCGGCUAACUACGUGCCAGCAGCCGCGGUAAUACGUAGGGGGCGAGCGUUGUCCGGAAUGACUGGGCGUAAAGGGUACGUAGGCGGCCAGAUAAGUCAGAUGUGAAAGGCAUGGGCUUAACCCGUGUUAGCAUUUGAAACUGUGUGGCUUGAGUUAAGGAGAGGAAAGUGGAAUUCCUGGUGUAGCGGUGAAAUGCGUAGAUAUCAGGAGGAAUACCAGUGGCGAAGGCGACUUUCUGGACUUAAACUGACGCUGAGGUACGAAMYUUGCKKGUUACAAACAGGAUUAGAUACCCUGGUAGUCCAC